rnacentral:tRNA from 1 species
GGGGGUAUAGCUCAGUGGUGGAGCUCCUGCUUAGCAUGCACAAGGUCCUGGGUUCAAUCCCAAGUACCUUCA